UUGACACUGAACACUGGUCCUUGAUGUGUAGGAUAGGUGGGAGGCUUUGAAGCGUGGACGCCAGUCUGCGUGGAGCCAACCUUGAAAUACCACCCUUUAAUGGCUGGUGUUCUAACGUAGACCCGUAAUCCGGGUUGCGGACAGUGUCUGGUGGGUAGUUUGACUGGGGCGGUCUCCUCCCAAAGAGUAACGGAGGAGCACGAAGGCGAUUGAUGGUCUUGAACAAUUGGCGGGCCAGUUGAUGCUGCUCCAGCAGGUGGCGGAAAUUCAUGAUGGUGGUGCGGUCCGGCAAGGCGCUAUCCAGGG
rnacentral:rRNA from 1 species